rnacentral:rRNA from 1 species
GGUCAGAACGAACGCUGGCGGCGCGUUUAAGCAUGCAAGUCGAGCGGCAAGGGCCUUCGGGCCCUAGAGCGGCGGACGGGUGAGUAACACGUGGACAAUCUGCCCCCCGGCCCGGGAUAGCCCAGGGAAACCUGGAUUAAUACCGGAUGAGACGGGACCCGCGAUGGCGGGAUCCGGGAAAGGCGCUGCGGCGCCGCCGGGGGAUGAGUCUGCGUCCCAUUAGCUAGACGGCGGGGUAACGGCCCACCGUGGCGACGAUGGGUAGCCGGCCUGAGAGGGUGGACGGCCACAUUGGAACUGAGACGCGGUCCAGACUCCUACGGGAGGCAGCAGCUAAGAAUCUUCCGCAAUGGGCGAAAGCCUGACGGAGCGACGCCCGCGUGAACGAAGAAGGCCGUGAGGUUGUAAAGUUCUUUUCGGGAGGGGGAACAACCGUGGCAGGGAAUGGCCGCGGGAUGACGUGAAUCCCGGAAUAAGCCCCGGCUAACUACGUGCCAGCCGCUGC